AGCCCCAGAAAUAACAAUAUUAUUUCAUUCUCUUUCAUGCUGCACUUUUGUUCCUCUUCUUCAAAACAUAGGGAAAAUCGAGAGUGAAAUUCGGAGUUGAUAUCAGUGGGUUUUGUAAUUUAACAAUGGAAUCAGCAUUGCCAGUAAAGAAAAUCAUGGAAGACGAAGAAGAAGGAGAAGAAAGUGAUAGAGGUAGUCAAAUACGUCAUGUACCAUUCUUCAGUAGAUUCUUGUUUUACGGCUACCAUUGGAUCUCCAAAUGUUAUGUCUCAGAAGGGUUUAUGUAAGAUUGAUCUCUCUUCCUCCAUCUCGAAGCACCAACACAUGAUCAGGAAAGCUGAUGAUAUGUGCACCAUCUUUAUGCUGAUGGUGGUCAUUUAAAGCCCUACUUACAGUAGGGCAGGGCUAUUGCUAGGCAACUGUACUUGGGAUUUUUUGUCCCAGGGAGACUCGAAUGUUUAUCGAAGCUGGUAUCCAUGUAGCUGACAACUGCGGUUCUAUUUAUGUGCUUAUUUGAACUCUUCUAAUAACAAAGGAGGAGACCUCAGCUUCAUUGUCUUUGGAACCUCUAUUGGACACGAGUGGUAUUAGUAUUCAUUUCUGGUGAGGGACAUUGUGGAGGAUUUGUUGUUGGUGGAUAGGUGUUGAGGAAGGAGGAUUAUGUUAUAGGAGUCCUUUUGUGGUGCCUAUGUAGGAUUAGGAGGUGGUGAUGUUGGUGCUGCAGGUGGUGGUGGACUAGCAUAGGCUUCCUGUGGAGGUAGAUGCUUGUACACCAAAGCCUGUUUUAAGAGAGGAUAUGCAGAAGAUACCGGAUGGUGUUCACAAGCCCAAGGUGCAUAUGGAUACUGAGAAUGAAGAGGAAGUUGAAGAUGAUGAGGCACUAGUGGAGGAGGCAUAUGACCAGGAUCCUUCAGCGCAGAAGUGUUUGGGCACCGACGCUUUUACCAUGCUAAAUAUUUGGCGUUGAUCGAAAGGGUUACAUACGCAUAAUGGGUGCUGGUGUUUCUAAAACUCAAAUUCUUGUUGUUGCGUUUAUGAAGGCCAAGUUCCAGGAAGUGAAGGUCAAUGUGCGGAAGAAGAAGCAGAAAAAUGAAGCCUUGGAAGCACAGUUGGAUGUUGAAAGACAGAAAAACAACACUGGAGUAUAUGAAAGUAGAUUGAAUACAGUUCUAAUGUUCAAAUAUGUAGUAUCUUUCCAUUUGUAUUUGAUGAUUUCAUUUUCUUGGAUGUUAUGCUGGGUAAUUAAUAAAAGUUAAUUUCAGAUUCAGUUGAAAUUGUAAUU